rnacentral:rRNA from 1 species
UACGGAGGAUGCAAGCGUUAUCCGGAAUCAUUGGGCGUAAAGCGUCCGUAGGUGGCGUUUCAAGUCUGCUGUCAAAGCACAAGGCUUAACCUUGUAAAGGCAGUGGAAACUGAAAGAGCUAGAGUGCGGUAGGGGUAGAGGGAAUUCCCAGUGUAGCGGUGAAAUGCGUAGAGAUUGGGAAGAACACCGGUGGCGAAAGCGCUCUACUGGGCCUGCACUGACACUGAGGGACGAAAGCUAGGGGAGCGAAAGGG